UUUGCAGAAAACUGGAAUAUUACGCCAAACAACUUAUUUCCGAAAGCUGGUGUGAAACAGUGAAUGGACCCAUCUUUUAAAAUAUAUCCCAGAAAGAUACAGUCUCAUCAAUAUCCCAACUUCAGCCUGGCGGCAGACGAAUAAAUCCUCUAUUAAUUCUUCUAAUACCAUAUAACCUGUCACGAACUGGUGGGUGGCUCGGGUGCAGUACUCCGAAUAUCAUAUAGAUAUCAAUAUUGAAAAUCAUUGAAAAAGAUAACCAUAUAGCAUGUAAAGCACGUUGGACAACUCUGACUCUACUUUGCAUAUUUUAAAUGGGGAUCCCGGCUCACAUAUGCUGACGUGUCAUAUACAUGUUAGUGGCACCAAAUCGGACCGCAUAUAGUGGCGCCUACCCAGGCCCACAACGAUAGUUAGUGUGGGAAGCCCACCGCAUAACUAUUGUGCAUUAAGCACGAUCGUCAACAUAUGGGCUCUAACUAGGUGAUCAAUCAAUACCAAUAUUACUCUUGCAAUAGAACUUGUUCAACUGAACAAUUACAUGUAAAACUCAACAAUUACAUGUAACAUAUCAUAUCAGCAAUAUAUCACUUAGGAUAUAAUAGAAUAUAUGUAUCACAUAUAAUUGACAUGUCACGUUGUCACAUAUAAUGCAUUUAAAACAUUUAAUCCAAGUAUUAUUUAUGUAAUUUCAAGAAGCAUAAAAAGCACAAAUAAAACAUAAACAUAUAAAAUGGAAGAUAUUACCCCCUUAAACCAACCCACCUGGAUUUAAGCGGGUUGACCCAAAAUACGGUC
rnacentral:lncRNA from 1 species